CCUACGGGAGGCAGCAGUGGGGAAUAUUGGGCAAUGGGCGCAAGCCUGACCCAGCAACGCCGCGUGAGGGAAGAAGGCUUUCGGGUUGUAAACUUCUUUUCUCAGGGACGAAGCAGGUGACGGUACCUGAAGAAUAAGCCACGACUAACUACGUGCCAGCCGCCGCGGUAAUACGUAGGUGGCAAGCGUUAUCCGGAUUUACUGGGUGGAAAGGGCGUGUAGGCGGGACUGCAAGGCAGAUGUGAAAACCACGGGCUCAACCUGUGGCCUGCAUUUGAAACUGUAGUGCUUGAGUACUGGAGAGGCAGACGGAAUUCCUAGUGUAGCGGUGAAAUGCGUAGAUAUUAGGAGGAACACCAGUGGCGAAGGCGGUCUGCUGGACAGCAACUGACGCUGAGGCGCGAAAGCGUGGGGAGCAAACAGGAUUAGAUACCCUGGUAGUC
rnacentral:rRNA from 1 species